rnacentral:rRNA from 1 species
GAAAGUAAGCAAGGGCAGACGGUGGAUGCCUUGGCUCUCGGAGGCGACGAAGGACGUGAUAAGCUGCGAAAAGCCCGGGGGAGGCGCAAAUAGCCGUUGAUCCCGGGAUAUCCGAAUGGGGCAACCCGGCAGGCUGAAGGCCUGUCAUCCCGUAAGGGAGGCGAACGUGGGGAACUGAAACAUCUAAGUACCCAUAGGAGGAGAAAAUAAACAAUGAUUCCGUAAGUAGUGGCGAGCGAACACGGAAGAGCCCAAACCCAUGUCGUCUAGGCGACACGGGGGUUGUAGGACCACGACGUGGCAAGAGGAUGGCAAGUGGAACGCCUUGGAAAGGGCGACCGUAGAGGGUGAUAGUCCCGUACACGACUGCCUGCCGAAGCCUAGUGGCAUCCUGAGUAGCGCGGGGCACGAGAAAUCUUGCGUGAAACAGCGGGGCCCAUCCCGUAAGGCUAAAUACUCCCGAGAGACCGAUAGCGAACCAGUACCGUGAGGGAAAGGUGAAAAGAACCCCGAGCAGGGGAGUGAAAUAGACCCUGAACCCGUCUGCCUACAAGCGGUCGGAGCGUUGUUAUGACGUGACGGCGUGCCUUUUGCAUAAUGAACCUACGAGUUACCUUCCCCGGCAAGGUUAAGUACCUAAGGUACGGAGCCGAAGCGAAAGCGAGUCUGAAGAGGGCGGCCAGUCGGGGGGGGUAGACGCGAAACCGAGUGAUCUACCCUUGGCCAGGUUGAAGGUUGGGUAACACCAACUGGAGGACCGGAUGGGUAAGCGUUGAAAAGCUUUCCAAUGAGCUGAGGGUAGGGGUGAAAGGCUAAUCAAACUCGGAGAUAGCUCGUACUCCCCGAAAUGCAUUUAGGUGCAGCCUCUUUAUAGUAUAUCGUGAGGUAGAGCGACUGAUUGGAUGCGAGGGCUUCACCGCCUAUCAAGUCCAGAUAAACUCCGAAUGCGCGAUAUAUAUUUACAGGGAGUGAGGGCGCGGGUGCUAAGGUCCGUGUCCGAGAGGAGAAGAAUCCAGACCACCGGCUAAGGCCCCCAAAUGAUCGUUGAGUUGAACUAACGAGGUCGGAUCGCAGAGACAGCUAGGAUGUUGGCUUGGAAGCAGCCAUUCAUUUAAAGAGUGCGUAACAGCUCACUAGUCGAGCGAUCUGGCGUGGAUAAUAAUCGGGCAUAAACGAUCUGCCGAAGCCGUGGAUGUCGUAAGACAUGGUAGGGGAGCAUUCCAUGCGGCGUCGAAGAUGAGGGAUGACCCUUGUUGGAGCGCAUGGAAAAGCAAAUGUAGGUAUGAGUAACGAUAAGGGGGGCGAGAAACCCCCCCGCCGAAAGACCAAGGUUUCCUGAUCAACGCUAAUCGGAUCAGGGUGAGUCGGGACCUAAGGCUAAGCCGAACGGCGACGCCGAUGGAAGAAUGGGUUAAUAUUCCCAUACUGCCUCAUGGAGUGACGUGGAGACGGAGAAGUGACAGUCCUGCCGGCUGACGGAAUAGCCGGUUGAAGGGUGUAGAUAUUGAUUCCCGUAGGCAAAUCCGCGGGGAGAGUCGAACCUGACAGUAUACCGAGUACUUGUACGAGGUAAUAUGGACGUAACCAUGCUCCCAAGAAAAUCCGCUAAACUUAUCCAUGCGGCACCCGUACCGUAAACGGACACACGUGGUCGGGUUGAGAAUACUGAGGCGCUCGAGUGACUCACGGUUAAGGAACUAGGCAAAUUGACCCUGUAACUUCGGGAUAAAGGGUCCUCGUCGUAAGGCGAGGCGCAGAGAAUAGGUCCAGGCAACUGUUUAACAAAAACACAUGGCUGUGCUAAAUGGAAACAUGACGUAUACAGCCUGACACCUGCCCGGUGCUGGAAGGUUAAGAGGAGAUGUCAUCGCAAGAGAAGCGUUGAAUUGAAGCCCCAGUAAACGGCGGCCGUAACUAUAACGGUCCUAAGGUAGCGAAAUUCCUUGUCGGGUAAGUUCCGACCUGCACGAAUGGUGUAAUGAUCUGGACACUGUCUCAACCGUGAGCUCGGUGAAAUUGUAGUAUCGGUGAAGAUGCCGAUUACCCGCGAUGGGACGAAAAGACCCCGUGAACCUUUACUAUAGCUUUACAUUGAAUUUGGGCAGACGAUGUGUAGGAUAGGCCGGAGGCUUUGAAGGGGGUACGCCAGUAUCCUUGGAGCCGCCGUUGAAAUACGGCCCUUCGGUUGUUUGAGUUCUAACUCCCGGAUGGGAGGACACUGUAUGGUGGGUAGUUUGACUGGGGUGGUCGCCUCCAAAAGCGUAACGGAGGCUUCUAAAGGUGCCCUCAGACCGAUUGGUAACCGGUCGCAGAGUGUAAUGGCAUAAGGGCGCUUGACUGGGAGAGAUACAACUCGAUCAGGUAGGAAACUAGAGCAUAGUGAUCCGGUGGUUCCGCAUGGAAGGGCCAUCGCUCAAAGGAUAAAAGGUACUCCGGGGAUAACAGGCUGAUCAUUCCCAAGAGCUCAUAUCGACGGAAUGGUUUGGCACCUCGAUGUCGGCUCGUCACAUCCUGGGGCUGGAGAAGGUCCCAAGGGUUGGGCUGUUCGCCCAUUAAAGUGGCACGCGAGCUGGGUUCAGAACGUCGUGAGACAGUUCGGUCUCUAUCUAUCGUGGGCGCAGGAGAUUUGAGGGGCUCUGACACUAGUACGAGAGGACCGUGUUGGACGUACCACUGGUUUACCGGUUGUCCCGCCAGGGGCACCGCCGGGUAUCUAAGUACGGAUCGGAUAAGUGCUGAAAGCAUCUAAGUACGAAGCCGGCCUCAAGAUUAGAUCUCCCUCAAGGGUGGUUAUAGACGAUGACCUUGAUAGGCCACAGGUGUAAGGGCGGCGACGUCCGAGCCGAGUGGUACUAAUAGCCCGGGACUUUCCUCAC